rnacentral:rRNA from 1 species
UACGGAGGGUGCGAGCGUUGUCCGGAAUCACUGGGCGUAAAGAGCUCGUAGGCGGUGUGUCACGUCGGCCGUGAAAACCUGCAGCUUAGCUGUGGGCGUGCGGUCGAUACGGGCAUCACUGGAGUUCGGCAGGGGAGACUGGAAUUCCUGGUGUAGCGGUGAAAUGCGCAGAUAUCAGGAGGAACACCGGUGGCGAAGGCGGGUCUCUGGGCCGUAACUGACGCUGAGGAGCGAAAGCGUGGGGAGCGAACAGG